AUAAGUCAGUGGUGAAAGCCCGGGGCUCAACUCCGGGAUUGCCAUUGAAACUGUUCACUUGAGUGUAGUCGAGGACGGCGGAAUGAGUUAUGUAGCGGUGAAAUGCAUAGAUAUAACUCAGAACACCGAUUGCGGAGGCAGCUGUCUAGGCUACAACUGACGCUGAGGCACGAAAGCGUGGGGAGCGAACAGGAUUAGAUACCCUGGUAGUCCACGCUGUAAACGAUGAUCACUCGUUGUUGGUUACCUAGUAACCAGUGACUGAGGGAAACCAUUAAGUGAUCCACCUGGGGAGUACGUCGGCAACGAUGAAACUCAAAGGAAUUGACGGGGGCCCGCACAAGCGGAGGAACAUGUGGUUUAAUUCGAUGAUACGCGAGGAACCUUACCUGGGCUUAAAUGCAGACUGCAUUCACGCGAAAGCGUGAUUUCCUUCGGGACUGUUUGCAAGGUGCUGCAUGGUUGUCGUCAGCUCGUGCCGUGAGGUGUCGGGUUAAGUCCCAUAACGAGCGCAACCCUUAUCGUUAGUUGCCAGCAUGUAAUGAUGGGGACUCUAACGAGACUGCCGGUGUAAACGGAGGAAGUGGGGAUGACGUCAAAUCAGCACGGCCUUACGCCCAGGGCUACACACGUGUUACAAUGGCCGGUACAGAGAGCAGCCACCUGGCGACAGGGCGCUAAUCUCGAAAGCCGGUCUCAGUUCGGAUCGGAGUCUGCAAUUCGACUCCGUGAAG
rnacentral:rRNA from 1 species